rnacentral:rRNA from 1 species
GUCUCCCAGUUUGAUCCUGGCUCAGAACGAACGCUGGCGGCAGGCUUAACACAUGCAAGUCGAGCGCCCCUUACGGGGAGCGGCAGACGGGUGAGUAAACGCGUGGGAACAUACCUUUGGUUCGGAACAACACAGGGAAACUUGUGCUAAUACCGGAUAAGCCCUUACGGGGAAAGAUUUAUCGCCGAAAGAUUGGCCCGCGUCUGAUUAGCUAGUUGGUGAGGUAACGGCUCACCAAGGCGACGAUCAGUAGCUGGUCUGAGAGGAUGAUCAGCCACAUUGGGACUGAGACACGGCCCAAACUCC